AACUGCGAAUGGCUCAUUAAAUCAGUUAUCGUUUAUUUGAUAGUACCUUACUACAUGGAUACCUGUGGUAAUUCUAGAGCUAAUACAUGCUAAAAACCCCGACUUCAGGAAGGGGUGUAUUUAUUAGAUAAAAAACCAACGCCCUUCGGGGCUCCUUGGUGAAUCAUAAUAACUUAACGAAUCGCAUGGCCUUGCGCCGGCGAUGGUUCAUUCAAAUUUCUGCCCUAUCAACUUUCGAUGGUAGGAUAGUGGCCUACCAUGGUGGCAACGGGUAACGGGGAAUUAGGGUUCGAUUCCGGAGAGGGAGCCUGAGAAACGGCUACCACAUCCAAGGAAGGCAGCAGGCGCGCAAAUUACCCAAUCCCGAUACGGGGAGGUAGUGACAAUAAAUACUGAUACGGGGCUCUUUUGGGUCUCGUAAUUGGAAUGAGAACAAUUUAAAUCCCUUAACGAGGAACAAUUGGAGGGCAAGUCUGGUGCCAGCAGCCGCGGUAAUUCCAGCUCCAAUAGCGUAUAUUAAAGUUGUUGCAGUUAAAAAGCUCGUAGUUGAACCUUGGGUCUGGCUGGCCGGUCCGCCUCACCGCGAGUACUGGUCCGGCUGGACCUUUCCUUCUGGGGAACCUCAUGGCCUUCACUGGCUGUGGGGGGAACCAGGACUUUUACUGUGAAAAAAUUAGAGUGUUCAAAGCAGGCCUUUGCUCGAAUACAUUAGCAUGGAAUAAUAGAAUAGGACGUGCGGUUCUAUUUUGUUGGUUUCUAGGACCGCCGUAAUGAUUAAUAGGGAUAGUCGGGGGCGUCAGUAUUCCGCUGUCAGAGGUGAAAUUCUUGGAUUUGCGGAAGACUAACUACUGCGAAAGCAUUCGCCAAGGAUGUUUUCAUUAAUCAGGGAACGAAAGUUAGGGGAUCGAAGACGAUCAGAUACCGUCGUAGUCUUAACCAUAAACUAUGCCGACUAGGGAUCGGACGGGAUUCUAUGAUGACCCGUUCGGCACCUUACGAGAAAUCAAAGUUU
rnacentral:rRNA from 1 species